GCGUCUCACGUGGCGUGGUUACCUAAUGAGCUGAGUUGUGUGAGUGAGCUACAAACUCACUGAGUCAUGCUGGACCGGAUGUCUGCUUCGACCUAUUCUUGACCGCAGCACAUCUGUUUUCCUUACAGUAUGUAGUACGCAUUCUACCUUUUUCUACAAUGAAUCCACCAGGCAGAAAUUCCUGUACACAUCUUAUCAACAAAGAAUUUGAACCUCAAAGAGUGGCUCAAAGAGGUCAGGAGGCACCUUCAACACUUUUAUUGGAGAUCUCCUUGUCUAGCUCAUCAGGUUUGUCAGACUCUCACUCUGUCACCUAGGCUGCAGUACAGUGGUGCGAUCUCAACUCACUGCAACCUCUACCUCCUGGGUUCAAGCAAUUCUCCUGCCUCAGCCUCCCAAGUAGCUGGGAUUACAGAGCUCAUGGUUUUUAAACAACUUGUGGUAAAAAUCUGGUGGAAAAGAUAACAACAGCAUAUGAUAUGGCAGAGCUGCACAGAAGAAUCAGAACAUUGUUUUAGAGAAACGUUGGGCAAUUAAUUAAGCCAGCUGAUUAAGUUUUAAAGGAGGAAGAUGGAACUUGGAGAAGACAAACAGGCUGAAGAAAAAAAAAUAUUUUGGAAGUGAUCAGCACAUUCUAAUUGACCAUGGAUGCUCUCUGCAUUCAUGUGGUAACCCAGGGAGAGUAUGGAGUGAAAAGAGGAUCACCAAAGAAACUUGGGGUAUCUCAACAUUUAGGAUGUGUGCAGAGAAGAUGAGAUCAUUAAAAUGUACCAAGAGGUUAUAUUUAAAUGUUAGAGGGAAAUCAAAAGAAUGGCACCACAAAAAUCAAGGGUUGGACUUCUUUAUAAUUGUUUGGCUGAGUUUUUAGAUGGUGAAUUUAGAAUGUACAACUUGAGGGAGUCAUUUAUAGGAAGUGAUAACCCAAAUAUUGUAACAUAACAACUUCAAUUACUGAUGCUAAUAAAAUUUUCAGAGUGUGA